UACGGGGGGGGCAAGCGUUGUUCGGAAUUACUGGGCGUAAAGGGCUCGUAGGCGGCCAACUAAGUCAGACGUGAAAUCCCUCAGCUUAACUGGGGAACUGCGUCUGAUACUGGAUGGCUUGGAUUUGGGAGAGGGAUGCGGAAUUCCAGGUGUAGCGGUGAAAUGCGUAGAUAUCUGGAGGAACACCGGUGACGAAGGCGGCAUCCUGGACCAAUAUUGACGCUGAGGAGCGAAAGCCAGGGGAGCAAACGGG
rnacentral:rRNA from 1 species